rnacentral:rRNA from 1 species
UACGGAGGGUGCGAGCGUUGUCCGGAAUCACUGGGCGUAAAGGGCGCGUAGGCGGCCUGGUAAGGUGGUGGUGAAAGCCCGGGGCUCAACCCCGGGUCGGCCAUGACGACUGCCAGGCUGGAGCCCACUAGGGGCAGGCGGAAUUCCCGGUGUAGCGGUGAAAUGUGUAGAGAUCGGGAAGAACACCCGUGGCGAAGGCGGCUCUCUGGGACGGUACUGACGCUGAGACGCGAAAGCGUGGGGAGCGAACAGG